rnacentral:rRNA from 1 species
UACAGAGGUCCCGAGCGUUGUUCGGAUUCAUUGGGCGUAAAGGGUGCGUAGGCGGCGGGGUAAGUCUGAUGUGAAAUCCUGGGGCUCAACCCCAGAACUGCAUUGGAUACUGCCUUGCUAGAGUACUGGAGAGGAAACUGGAAUUUACGGUGUAGCAGUGAAAUGCGUAGAGAUCGUAAGGAAGACCAGUGGCGAAGGCGAGUUUCUGGAC